CUUUCACGGUCACCUGCCCAGCUCCUCUAUCCUUCUCCCCUCUCCUCAAACUUGAACCAGAGCAAAACCCUAGGCUCCCUCUUCCCCUUGUGCCGCCGCUGCCUCCUCUGCUCCUCCAAGCACCCAGCCAGAACCACAUCCGAGAGCCACCAAAAGUUUUGCCGGAGAAGACCAAGACCGCGCCGUCGAACCAAACUGCUGCGUCGCCGUCCGAGCGCGGGGAUGGAGCCGCCGUGGCGUCCUCUUCCUCCUCGCUGAACCGGAGCCGGAGCUACUCAAGAACGCCGCCGCCGCCGCCAAGACAUACCUGGUGCGCCGCUGUGCACGCCGACGACCUCCGCCUCGCCCCGCCGUCGUCUCCAUCUUCCCCAACCUCUCCUUCAACUUGCUGGUCGUGUGUGCUGCCAGAGCUUCAACAGCGUCAUCUUGGUCGGGCUUCGUCUGGCUUCCUUCGAAGGGCCGAGCCCCUCUCUUCAUUCAUCAAUUAAUCUAGCGGCUUGCCUGUUUCAUCUACACACCGAAGACGCCGGUACUGAGGAGUACGGCGAGGAGUACGACUACUACACCGAGGAGGAUCGUGCCGGUUCUCUUCUUCUGACUUGACAGGCG